rnacentral:rRNA from 1 species
UACGAAGGGGGCUAGCGUUGCUCGGAAUGACUGGGCGUAAAGGGCGCGUAGGCGGUUUGUACAGUCAGAUGUGAAAUUCCUGGGCUCAACCUGGGGGCUGCAUUUGAUACGUGCGGACUUGAGUGAGGAAGAGGGUCGUGGAAUUCCCAGUGUAGAGGUGAAAUUCGUAGAUAUUGGGAAGAACACCGGUGGCGAAGGCGGCGACCUGGUCCUUGACUGACGCUGAGGCGCGAAAGCGUGGGGAGCGAACAGG